rnacentral:lncRNA from 1 species
AACUCAUCUAAAUUUAUUUUUGUCAGGAAAAAGAUCAGUGUCAUACCAACACUUAUCUAGCAGUGUGCUGCAAAAGCGGAGUUAUGAGGGUUUCCCUGGCAAUGCACGCUUUCGACCAAGUGACAAGAAGACCUGAAAGUUUACUUCAAGAAACGGUCUUAAGGAUUCAAGUGCAUGUUCUAUGGAGUUAUACCUGCAGUUCAUCCCUUGAGGAAAAUGGAUGGUGAAAGCUACUGAACUAAGCUGUGAUUGUACUGUAUAUAAAAACACUACAGUUCUAUAAUAUUGGUUCUGUUAACAUUUAAUACCAAUAGCCAUAAAAGGUAGUCUAAACAAUUGGGUUAUGAAGGUGUGUGGGGAAUGUAUGUCUUGACAUUGACUUGGAGUAUUUUUCAUUAGAACUAAUUGACCAAAUAUUAGGUAGGAAUUAUAUUUUUACAUACUUGAGCGCUGCUGA